rnacentral:tmRNA from 1 species
GGGGGCGACCGGUUUUGACAGCUUGCAGAGUUCGAUCGUAAGCACGUCGAGCGUUGUGUGGUAGCUCGUAAAUAUCAACACUCGAACUACAAAUGGCAAUAACAGCUAUGCACUCGCUGCCUAAUUUUCAGGGAAAAUUGGCUUAAUCGUCGGGCCCGAGGAGGUUUGACGACGAGUAUCCCGAACGGCUGCUCCGCCCUUUAGCGGCUCGUUCAUACGGGGUAUCAUCAAUUUAGGGAUAGUACGGCAUGUGUCUCGGUUGUCGUAUGAGAUUCAAGGGACUGCGGCAAGGGUCAGGUCGUCUGCGGCCAUCCCGCGCAAGAGGAUCAAUCGCAGAAUAAACGUGUAGAAAGCCUUGGGGCUCCUUGUUUGGACGCGGGUUCGACUCCCGCCGCCUCCAC